GAUGGCGGCCGGGCUGGGGCCGCGGCUGCUGGCCUUGGCCUUGGCCUUGGGGCCGGCCGGUGUGAGUGCUCAAUGGAAGCUGGGGGUGUCUGGUGGAGGUGUUCGUGUACCAGGGGAAUCUGUGCACCUCUCCUGCCAGGGAUCCGGAUUCAGAUUUGAAGAUUAUUAUGUCCGGUGGUACCGUCAGGCACCCGGUGGAAGUCUCGAGUGGGUGUCCUACAUCCACUUUGAUGGUAGCACAAUAAAAUAUGGCAAAGCGGUGGAGGGCCGAGCCACAGCUUCCCGGGACAAUUCCCAGUCCAAGGCUUCUCUGUCCCUGCAUGCCCUGGUACCCCAGGACUCUGCCCACUACUUCUGUGCAGUUCGCACAGGGACAGGAAAUCCAGCUGAGCUUUAA